rnacentral:rRNA from 1 species
AUACGGAGGGUCCGAGCGUUAUCCGGAAUCAUUGGGUUUAAAGGGUCCGUAGGCGGGAAUCUAAGUCAGUGGUGAAAUCUUGUAGCUCAACUGUAAAAUUGCCAUUGAUACUGGAUUUCUUGAAUUAGUGUGAAGUGGUUAGAAUGUGUAGUGUAGCGGUGAAAUGCAUAGAUAUUACACAGAAUGCCAAUUGCGAAGGCAGAUCACUAACACUAUAUUGACGCUAAGGGACGAAAGCGUGGGGAGCGAACAGGAUUAGAAACCCCAGUAGUCC